rnacentral:tRNA from 1 species
AAAGAAAUAUUUUUAAAGAAGCUUCUAACUUCCUAAAGAGCAUAAUUAUGUUCAUAUU